rnacentral:lncRNA from 1 species
CUCGGACCACAGAAAUGCCACUUUUCAGCUGGAAAAGCAAGGAAGUUUUCUGUGCUAGAUAACCAUUAUUUGGGCCAUCAUUUCCAUUCCCCACCCUUGCCCACCUGCCCUGUGUUCAGGAUGCUCACCCUCUAUGGUCUCUUGCCCUCAGAAUUUUGGUUGGAAUCAGUAAAUGCAGGUCAUUACAGGAGCUGUGUGUGGGAGAGGGGAGAAUGAGGUUGGGAUGUUGUUUCUCCUGGUUCCUCCCUAGGGGCUCACAAUGGGCCCAGUGUGACCCUGGAACCAAGGUCAUAGUCUUAUCAGAGUGUCCUCUCCACCCAGUAACUGCUCCCUCCAUUUGUCUCUUUAGACCUGGGAGUGUUAAUAAUCCCUGCUGUUCUUAGCUCCAGGGUGAGUUCGCCAUCCCUGUGAGCUUUCUAAACGCUGACCAUAGCUUUACGAAUAUUCUUUGUAUUAAACGCUCCACAAAUUAAUCAAGUAGAGGGUACCAUCUGUUUCCUAGAAGGACCCCAACUGAUACUGUUACCUGUGGCAUUCUGGUGUUCUUUUCAUAUCUCAGCGAAUGAUAACCCAAGGCCACACCAACCUGACCUUGUAUUACUUGAAGGAAAAAGAUUUGUAAUUAAUGUCUUCUCUCAAAAAGAGUUAAGCUUGCAGUGAAAAAUGCAUUGAGGCUUUUGUCUCACUAUGAUGGCUGUUUUCCAGUGAUAAGAGGGCCAUAUGGAUGUACAGAAACAUUAUGCAUCAUCACUGCAGCUUUCCAGUCUGCCUUCUCAAUAAGAAUUCUCUCAAUUGAAUAGUUUCUGGUUAUGCCUGGAAAGGAUGCCCAUCUAUAGCUCUAAUGAUGAUGAAGGCCAAAUCCGUCAUGAAUGAAGAGAAGAUUCUUCACAGGGCCGGAUUGGCUAAUCUCAAGAGCACAAUAGUUUCCCAUUCAGUUAAUGGUGAUAUUGAGUCUAGUGAUUACCAGCUCCUCAGAUGCCAUGUCACAUCAGUGCAGAAAGCCUCCAUCUGGUCUGAACCACGCUGUCAUAUUUCAUGUAAGCC